rnacentral:lncRNA from 10 species
UUUUUACAGUUGCAAACAAGGUGAAGAGGAGGAUGCAAUGAGUCAAGCUAACAGUUUUGGAAAAGAUCAGUUCUGUCCUGCCUUGCAGCAACCUCCACAAGCACAGAGUCCCUUAAAAUCAGAAUCUCUUUUAUAAGAACAAAUUUGAGGGGAAAAACACUUCUGUGCAUUUACCAUCAAUUGUCCAAAUGCCCUGAAAGGUGUGUGUUGUGGCUAUGCCUAGGCCACAUAUUCUUGUCUUUGAUGUCAGAUUUAAAAUACACCAAAAUGCACUCACAGAAAAAAAAUGAUUCAGGCUGAAAGAGAAACUUUUGUGAUUAUAGCAAAUGCCCUCAAGCAAAAAAAAAAAAGAAAAAAAGUUAAAAAGGUUUAUAAAUGGAAAAGCAAGAAAAAGAAAAAAAGAUGAAUAAAGUCAUACUAAGGGAAGAAAGAUUCUUCAAGGAAGUGCAGUAUAUGUUGGAAACAUGUUAGAGAUUUAAACUAGAAACAAUACUAAGUACACUGAAAGCCGCAGGAGUCAUCAUAGACUUUUGUUUUGCGAAGGAUAUUAAUGGACAUGGAUUCAAAUCUUCACACCAACACAGACUCCUUUUCCAGCAUCCAUGAAAGAACAAGGAAUCCAUGAACCCCAGGAGCAGUCCUCAACCAAAGAAAACUUCUUUCCUCAGGUGUUAUGGAUCUGAAGAAUGUAGCAAGAGUCCUCAGUGGGAUAAGAACUAGGCCAACGCACCCUUUACUGUCCGCCAUCACUAGCCUAUAUCACUCCUCACUGCCUUCUCAGUGUUCCCUUCAUGGCCGAAACAAAUUGUUUGUGCUCAAAACUUUGUCUUAUGGGCUGCUUCUAGAGGACCCCAAACAGAGAAAAAAACAAAUUAUUUCUCUACUCUUUGGGAAAAUGUCAGCCAACCCCAACAAGGUGACACCCUCAUGCAUAUUUUCUAGGGUAGAACCAAGUAAAUAAAUGCUGCUUCUGAUAAAGCUACACUGAUUAAUGAAGAAGUCAACAAUUGCAACAACACUUCACCUUUCUGUGCUCUGUUCCCUCACAUUUUCAUCAUGUCUAGCUUCUCUAAUCAGGGCAUCUUUGGACACAAUAACAGAAAAAAAUCCCAAUUAUCAAAAUUAACAUGAUAGGGACCAGAAAUUCAGGCCUUGGAGAGCCCACCAUUGUAAUUAUAAUCAAUUGUGUUCACUUACUGAUCAGCUUUGCUUCUGCAUUUAUUAGUUUUCCAUUUAAGAUGCCAGUGAGUUAUUAAGAGAUUAUCUGCUUUCUCAACCAUUGCUAUGAUGCUAUUUUCGUUUUUCUGACUAUAGAGAACUAAAAAUUACAUGCAAAUGAGUGCCAAUUUAGCUUACUUUUUAGAAUUUCAAGCAGUGAACUGUGAUAAAAGUAUAUUUGUGAUAAAAGUGUAUACAUAUUCUUUCUGCAUCAUGGCAUCAAGUUGCUGUUUUGGGGUGGUAAAUCUUUUGUUAUCUUUCCAAAUACUGUUUUGCAGCUGAUUUUAAUAGACUUUACAUAAAAUAUACUAGCAUCCAAAAAUAGGGCUGUGUGUAUGUCAGAACUGUACUUCUAUUGUUAGCCUCCAAGCUUUUCCAUUACUUAACAUCUCCACCUCUCAGGCCAUUGCAGAGUACAAUAGAGAGUAAUUGUUUCCUGUGGAUAGUUGCUUUUCAUUUUGUGAACAGAUUACAAGGUAGGUUUAGGCAAAUGAGAGGAAACAAAAUGUUAAGUUAUUGAGAUAAACAACUUAUAAUCUAUUUCCACUGCUUAAGCAAAACAUAAGCAAGGUUUGAACUAAGGAACUGUUCAACUUGGAUGAAAAGAAAUUUAUAAAGAUGGCAAAUUGCUGAAUUUCUAAUUUGCUUUUUGUUGUCUAAGGUCCUCACUGGUCAAAGAGAGAAACCACACUAUUUCUACAAAUGAGUCCUAAGAACUGUGAAAACAGAUGCCAUCACACUGUUUGUGAACAAUUAAAGGUAAAAGGGACACCAUCAUGACAGAAAAAUAAGGCAACCUGGGAACUUUAAAGACAUUUAGGGACUCUGCUGUCCUUUAUUGGUGUUGUUAAUGCUCAGUAAUAUGAAGGAAGCAGAAGCAUAGACCAGAG